UUAAAUUGAAGAGUUUGAUCAUGGCUCAGAUUGAACGCUGGCGGCAGGCCUAACACAUGCAAGUCGAACGGUAACAGGAAGCAGCUUGCUGCAU
rnacentral:rRNA from 1 species